ensembl:ncRNA F26A10.19 ncRNA
UGUGUAAUCCGACGGCGGCGCGCGCGGUUCAGUAUGCCUUCUCAAUUUGGCAGGCAGCCGUUCAAACCACCGCCUGUUACAUACUAUUUGCUGUAUCUGAACCUCGACCGUCUUUCCUCUCCGCGAAGCGAUGACCAGCUAGCUGGCGGAACGCAACCACGAAUACAAAUAUAUACCGUCUAUCCAAAUAUCGUUUACGAGUUGUUUUGCAGUUGGUGUCU